AUUGGCUAAAAAUCACCUGCAGCUUUGGCUAUGGCUGUUGGUGAGAUUUGGCACCCAGAGCCACAGGGGGCCUCAACUCACUGCCCACUCAUGGGUGUGGGGAGGUGAAACCCAGGCCCCAACCUGC
ensembl:snoRNA